CGUAGAUACGUCAGGUGUAGAGUACUAUGCACUACGUAUCCGUACAUCAGGUAGUACGUUAUUGAAUGGAAGAAUUGAAUAAACUUGCCAAUCAUUUAUUAGUCGUAGAUACGUCAGGUGUAGAGUACUAUGCACUACGUAUCCGUACAUCAGGUAGUACGUUAUUGAAUGGAAGAAUUGAAUAAACUUGCCAAUCAUUUAUUAGUUGUAGAUACGUCACGUGUAGAGUACUAUGCACUACGUAUCCGUACAUCAGGUAGUACGUUAUUGAAUGGAAGAAUUGAAUAAACUUGCCAAUCAUUUAUUAGUCGUAGAUACGUCAGGUGUAGAGUACUAUGCACUACGUAUCCGUACAUCAGGUAGUACGUUAUUGAAUGGAAGAAUUGAAUAAACUUGCCAAUCAUUUAUUAGUCGUAAAUACGUCAGGUGUAGAGUACUAUGCACUACGUAUCCGUACAUCAGGUAUUACGUUAUUGCAUGAAAGAAUUGAAUAAACUUGCCAAUCAUUUAUUAGUCGUAAAUACGUCAGGUGUAGAGUA